CCCAAACCAAUAAAGUUUUCUUUAUUGGGGUUGCGGACAUAUCAUAACGAAGAGGUAUCGUAAUUGAAGAGGUUUGGAAAGACCCACCACAGAAGGUAAUAGUCCUGUAUGUUAAACGAGAAGACUUUAGAUAUGAUCCAGAGUACCACGGGACACGUGAAACCCUGUGGGAAGCAGGAGGGACCACCCUCCAAGGCUAAAUACUACCUAGUGACCGAUAGCGUAUAGUACCGUGAGGGAAAGGUGAAAAGAACCCCGGGAGGGGAGUGAAAUAGAACCUGAAACCCUGUACUUACAAGCUGUGGAAGCACAUUUCUUGUGUGACCGCGUACUUUUUGUAGAACGGGCCAACGAGUUACGUUAAGUAGCAAGGUUAAGCACUUAAGGUG
rnacentral:rRNA from 1 species